GGACAGCUGGGCAAGUGAAAUAACCUUUUGUUUAUCAAUCACAUUCUAUUAUAUGUGGAAAUUAUUAUGAUUUCAAUGAAUGUCAUAUCAGAGAGGACGCAAUGUUUCAAUUUGUCACUUUUUGCUUAAAGGUCAGUACCUGUCCAGCCUUCCAGAAGUUUGAGAGGGCGAAGACUGUGGCGCCGGAGUUGAAGCACGUCAAAGUUGUUUUACCAUGGCACAUGAUCGGUGAGACUGAACAUGGACAAGGCGCAGGAGAAACAGAAGGAGAGCUACCGGAGCAGAGUCAAGAAGGGGACCAAGUGCUACGACAUCCGGGCAAAUGACUUGGUUUGGAAGAAGAACGAAAGGAAGGCAGAGACCUUGAAAACCUCGCUGCUCCUAGCUGUGGUCACGAUCUGUUAAAGUGAAUAGAAAAAAUUCAGAUAAUAACUAUUUGCAUUUGCACACAAAAUAACCUGAAGCUAGUUUCAGUUUCCCUAACACUGACAUUUUUCUCAUGGUCUUCCUAGGGUUACCUAGGGUUACCUAAGGUUACCUAGGAAGCUAACCAUCUUCUGCAGUUGGACGGUCUACCACUGGAAGCAUUGACGCCCUACACUUCAGUGAAGCCCAAUUUACAAAGGAGGUUAAGCUUUGGUUGACAUUUGAGAAAGCAAGAAAUGGUUGUUAUACUAAGCUUACAAAAAUGUACCUCUUCAAUUUACCUCUCCAAAUGACUUUAGGACCAUCGACUGUCCGAGCCCCCCAGGAGGUAUCCCAUCUACCAGAACCAGUGAGUUCGGAUCAGUCUGAUUCUCUGUGCUCUGAGUCGGAGGGGGACUAGCUUGAGGUAGGCUACACCUUCCAAAAGUUUUGAAAAGUACAUAUCUCUGUUAAUCCAUCAAAUUUUCUCACAGUAAAGUGUAACCUGUGUGUUUGCUUGUUUAUGUCGGUCUCCUACCAUGUCCCCUUCAACUCUGCUCCUGUUCUCCAAGAGCUAGGGGUUUUGGCCAACACCCAGAUCCACCUGAUGUCCUCCAUUACCAACCAUUGUUUUCAUUACCUCAUCUACAGCUACUGUUGUCAUUACGUCAUCUACAGCUACGGUUAUCAUUAUCUGCUAAGAAAGCUGUCUUGCGCUAUCAUACUGGGCACAUAAUAUGUGAGAGACACAGAUUAACUAAAAACAUUAGCACUGAAAAUCCUCUGAACAAAGCGAACAGCAGUGCCUGGACUUCGCAGUCUCCUUCUUCAAGUCCCCCCUUCUGAGACUGGGUGCCUGUUGAGAACAAGUGACAGGCAGAAUCUCCCACCCACACAGCAACCACCUCCUAUAUUCCACACACCAGAAUUAUGUAUUUAGUCUAUGAUUGCCAUGUGAAAAUAAAUUAAUGACACAACUGUACCAAAAAAUAUCAACGUUUCUGUGUUACAAUCUUAAAUAUUGACGGGUUGGUUUUCACAACAUGUUCAUUGCUGUAAGGUAUCCUUUGAUGGUAUUUAUUUGUUCCUCAUUAUUCAUUGAAUGUAGUAAAUUCUGCCGUAGGGAAAGCGUGCAUCUCACAGGUGAGGGCAACGACCUCUUCCUUGAGUUUGAGAGCUGAUCCCUCUUUUGUUCUAGCAAGAGCUGUGCUCUUGGGGUAAUUCUCAAAAUGCAUUUAUUUUUAAUUUUUAAAAGGAAGUGUCAGGGAACAUUGUUUUUUACAUGUAUCUAACCUUUGUGUAGUGACAGUGUCCAUAUAUACUGUACUUCCAUAAAUGUUUUAUACUGGUAUAAGGGGACUUUAUGUAUUAACCUAUCAAGAUCAAAUAUUGUAGUUGGGCAACAUAUGAGAUGUGAAUAUAAAACAUUUCAUUCUGAAGUUGGAGUGUACUUUCUCUUGAUUCAGCUCAAAUAACGGCCGUCAUUGAUUUAAAGAAAUGUUGUGACAUUUUUUACGUGGUUGCGUCAUAUUUCUUUGCGUACUUUCU
ensembl:lncRNA